CCCUAGUAACUGCGAGUGAAGCGGGAAAAGCUCAAAUUUAAAAUCUGGCGGUCUUUGGCCGUCCGAGUUGUAAUCUAGAGAAGUGUUACCCGCGUCGGACCGUGUACAAGUCUCCUGGAAUGGAGCGUCAUAGAGGGUGAGAAUCCCGUCUUUGACACGGACUACCGAGGCUUUGUGGUGCGCUCUCAAAGAGUCGAGUUGUUUGGGAAUGCAGCUCAAAAUGGGUGGUAAAUUCCAUCUAAAGCUAAAUAUUGGCGAGAGACCGAUAGCGAACAAGUACCGUGAGGGAAAGAUGAAAAGAACUUUGGAAAGAGAGUUAAACAGUACGUGAAAUUGCUGAAAGGGAAACGCUUGAAGUCAGUCGCGUUGUCCGGGAAUCAGCCUUCCUUCUGGUUGGUGUACUUCCUGGUUGACGGGCCAGCAUCAGUUUUGACCGGUGGAAAAAGUUCGAGGGAAUGUGGCACCUCCGGGUGUGUUAUAGCCCUCGUUCGUAUACAUCGGUUGGGACUGAGGAACUCAGCACGCCGCAAGGCCGGGAUUCGUCCACGUUCGUGCUUAGGAUGCUGGCAUAAUGGCUUUAAUCGACCCGUCUUGAAACACGGACCAAGGAGUCUAACAUGCCUGCGAGUGUUUGGGUGGAAAACCCGAGCGCGUAAUGAAAGUGAAAGUUGAGAUCCCUGUCAUGGGGAGCAUCGWCGCCCGGWCCAGACGUUUUCUGACGGUUCUGCGKUAGAGCAUGUAUGUUGGGACCCGAAAGAUGGUGAACUAUGCCUGAAUAGGGUGAAGCCAGAGGAAACUCUGGUGGAGGCUCGYAGCGAUUCUGACGUGCAAAUCGAUCGUCAAAUUUGGGUAUAGGGGCGAAAG
rnacentral:rRNA from 1 species